rnacentral:rRNA from 1 species
GCGGACGGGUGAGUAAUGUCUGGGAAACUGCCUGAUGGAGGGGGAUAACCACUGGAAACGGUAGCUAAUACCGCAUAACGUCGCAAGACCAAAGAGGGGGACCUUCGGGCCUCUUGCCAUCGGAUGUGCCCAGAUGGGAUUAGCUAGUAGGUGGGGUAAUGGCUCACCUAGGCGACGAUCCCUAGCUGGUCUGAGAGGAUGACCAGCCACACUGGAACUGAGACACGGUCCAGACUCCUACGGGAGGCAGCAGUGGGGAAUAUUGCACAAUGGGCGCAAGCCUGAUGCAGCCAUGCCGCGUGUAUGAAGAAGGCCUUCGGGUUGUAAAGUACUUUCAGCGAGGAGGAAGGCAUUGUGGUUAAUAACCACAGUG